GUGGAUUAGAUACCCGGGUAGUCCACGCCGUAAACGAUGUCAACUAGCCGUUGGGUCUUUAAAAAGAUUUAGUGGCGCAGCUAACGCAAUAAGUUGACCGCCUGGGGAGUACGGCCGCAAGGUUAAAACUCAAAUGAAUUGACGGGGGCCCGCACAAGCGGUGGAGCAUGUGGUUUAAUUCGAUGCAACGCGAAGAACCUUACCUGGUCUUGACAUCCUCGGAACCUCGCAGAGAUGCUUGGGUGCCUUCGGGAACCGAGAGACAGGUGCUGCACGGUUGUCGUCAACU
rnacentral:rRNA from 1 species